rnacentral:rRNA from 1 species
AUUGAACGCUGGCGGCAUGCCUUACACAUGCAAGUCGAACGGCAGCACGGGAGCAAUCCUGGUGGCGAGUGGCGAACGGGUGAGUAACGCAUCGGAACGUGCCCAGUCGUGGGGGAUAGCCCGGCGAAAGCCGGAUUAAUACCGCAUACGACCUAUGGGUGAAAGCGGGGGACCUUUCGGGGCCUCGCGCGAUUGGAGCGGCCGAUGUCAGAUUAGGUAGUUGGUGGGGUAAAGGCCCACCAAGCCGACGAUCUGUAGCUGGUCUGAGAGGACGACCAGCCACACUGGGACUGAGACACGGCCCAGACUCCUACGGGAGGCAGCAGUGGGGAAUUUUGGACAAUGGGCGCAAGCCUGAUCCAGCCAUGCCGCGUGCGGGAAGAAGGCCUUCGGGUUGUAAACCGCUUUUGUCGGGGAAGAAAUGCUCCGGGAUAAUACCCUGGGGAGAUGACGGUACCCGAAGAAUAAGCACCGGCUAACUACGUGCCAGCCGCCGCUGUAAAAC